rnacentral:rRNA from 1 species
UACAGAGGGUGCGAGCGUUAAUCGGAAUUACUGGGCGUAAAGCGUGCGUAGACGGUUAUUUAAGUCGGGUGUGAAAGCCCCGGGCUCAACCUGGGAAUUGCAUUCGAAACUGCGAGGCUAGGGUACGGAAGAGGGAAGCGGAAUUUCUGGUGUAGCGGUGAAAUGCGUAGAUAUCAGAAGGAACAUCAGUGGCGAAAGCGGCUUCCUGGUCCAGUACCGACGUUCAGGCACGAAAGCGUGGGGAGCAAACAGG